rnacentral:rRNA from 1 species
AUACCGGCAGCUCAAGUGGUAGCCGCUUUUAUUGGGCCUAAAGCGUCCGUAGCCGGUCUGAUAAGUCUCUGGUGAAAUCCCACAGCUUAACUGUGGGAAUUGCUGGAGAUACUAUCAUGACUCGAGGUCGGGAGAGGCUGGAGGUACUCCCAGGGUAGGGGUGAAAUCCUGUAAUCCUGGGAGGACCACCUGUGGCGAAGGCGUCCAGCUGGAACGAACCUGACGGUGAGGGACGAAAGCCAGGGGCGCGAACCGGAUUAGAUACCCGGGUAGUCCUGGCCGUAAACGAUGUGGACUUGGUGUUGGGAUGGCUUCGAGCUGCCCCAGUGCCGAAGGGAAGCUGUUAAGUCCACCGCCUGGGAAGUACGGUCGCAAGACUGAAACUUAAAUGAAUUGGCGGGG